CAGUUGAGUUCGCCGAAGAUCUAUCUGC
rnacentral:sRNA from 1 species